rnacentral:rRNA from 1 species
UACGGAGGGGACUAGCGUUGUUCGGAUUUACUGGGCGUAAAGGGUGCGUAGGCGGUUUAGUAAGUUAGAAGUGAAAGCCCAGGGCUUAACCCUGGAACUGCUUCUAAAACUAUUAGACUAGAGUAUGGGAGAGGAUAGUGGAAUUCCUAGUGUAGAGGUGAAAUUCUUAGAUAUUAGGAGGAACACCGGUGGCGAAAGCGACUAUCUGGAACAUUACUGACGCUAAGGCACGAAAGCGUGGGGAGCAAACAGG